GGAAGUAAAGUCGUAACAAGGUUUCCGUAGGUGAACCUGCGGAAGGAUCAUUAUCGUACAAAAUGUGAGGGGCAUGCGAGGGCUGUCGCUGACCCAAAAGUCGUGCACGCCCGAGUGUGUCCUCUUGCAUAAUAAUCCAUCUCACCCUUUGUGCAUCACCGCGUGGGCACCCUUCGGGAUCAUCUCGGAGGGAGGCUCGCGUUUUCACGCAAACCCCCCUUUUAAAAGUGUAGAAUGACCACAUUUAUGCAAUCAAUACAACUUUCAACAACGGAUCUCUUGGCUCUC
rnacentral:misc_RNA from 1 species